GUCGCUGCCGGCCGCAGGCCGGGAGAGGAAAGUCCGGGCAACACAGAGCACCACGCAGGUUAACGGCCUGACAGCCGUGAGGUUGUGGCAGCGUAACAGAAAACGACCGCCCGCAGGCAACUGCGGGUAAGGGUGAAAAGGCGGGGUAAGAGCCCACCGCGGGGGCAGCAAUGUCGCCCGGCAGUACGUCCCGUGGGUUGCAAGACCGUGUAUACCGGCAAUUAAGGGUUGCUCGCCCGAUGCCGGGGGGUAGGUUGCUCGAGGCGGCAGGAGACUGCCGUCCUAGAUAAAUGACAGGGGCCCGGGGUUCGCCCCGGGAACAGAACCCGGCUUACAGGGC
rnacentral:RNase_P_RNA from 1 species